rnacentral:rRNA from 1 species
UGGGGAAUAUUGGACAAUGGGCGAAAGCCUGAUCCAGCAAUACCGCGUGUGUGAAGAAGGCCUUCGGGUUGUAAAGCACUUUAAGUUGGGAAGAAAAAACUUUACCUAAUACGUGAAGUCUUGACGGUACCGACAGAAUAAGCACCGGCUAACUCUGUGCCAGCAGCCGCGGUAAUACAGAGGGUGCUAGCGUUAAUCGGAUUUACUGGGCGUAAAGCGUGCGUAGGUGGUUUGAUAAGUCGGUUGUGAAAGCCCCGGGCUCAACCCGGGAAUUGCGGCCGAUACUGUCAGACUCGAAAACGGUAGAGGGAGGUGGAACUCCAGGUGUAGCGGUGAAAUGCGUAGAUAUCUGGAAGAACAUCGAUGGCGAAGGCAGCCUCCUGGGCCUGUUUUGACACUGAGGCACGAAAGCGUGGGUAGCAAACA